UUGCACUUAAAUUUAAAAAGUGAUUUUGUGGUUAAAAAGGUUGGAGACCACUGACGUACAGCAAAGCAGUAAAUGGAUCAAACACUAACCCCGCCUCAUUUUCUUGUGCACAUUCUUAACACCAGAUAUAAAAGUCUACUUUUAUACCCAUGUUCUGAAAAUGAUGCUGCCAUUGCAUAGGUAUCUCAAAAAUCACUCGUCAUAAUAAAUGUCAGGGCUUGAGCAAAACCAUUUAAUCCUUAAGUAUUUACUGAUGAUGUUUUGAACAAAGUCACUCCCCUGAACUGGUAAGAACAAUUAGCCAGGCUCUUUAAGACAAAGUUCCUUCAGUUGCUAAGCCAACUCCUCUGCAGGCACAAAAUAUUGUCAUUGGUUGGUAUUAUUUUUACAAAUCUAAGAAAUAGACUGGAUUUGGAAAGGCAGGAAAACUUGUAUUUAUUUCAGUCUAUAAAAUCAAAACGACAGUGGGAAUGAGAAAGAAGAGAGCUAGUUGUAGAAGUUUUAAGGAUACUGUACAUUUAGUGUUGUGAUGACUUGUCGGUUAGAGUUAAUAAAAUCUGAAAAUUAAAAAGAGAGAGACUAUGUAAGGACUGCCAUCAGCCAGCAACUCAGGAGUCGGCUGCAAAUGCAAAACAUGUAUGUGACAUUUAAGACUUAGUUUAAUAAAAUGUGCUUUUGACGGGGCCUGCCAACCCCGCACUGAACAAGGGGGAGCAGAGCACACCUAUUGGGUGGAAUACGCCCUUUCUCCACAGCCCUGCUGGGCAUGCUCCCAGUGCAGCCCAGGUAUAAAAGCCUGUAGAGCAGCUCAGUUGGCGCUGACCUCCAGAGGAGAAGGAACUACUGCCCAACCACCUGAGCCAUAGCCGCCACAACUGGAGUGAGAGACACAGGACCAGUGGACUGCGCAACUAACAUCCCCGGGCCGAGCUCAACCGCAACGCCGGCUGCACCAAACAGCCCCCCUGGACACUGUCGCCGCACCAGUGGGGCUGCACCCGACACUGGGCCUGCCAACGUCACUACUGCCACCCGACCCACAGCUACAGGAUACACGGGCUUAAUUCUUGGCUCCAUCCCAGACUUCUGGAGCGAGCUCAGAGCAGAGAGGGG